rnacentral:lncRNA from 1 species
AUCAUAAAGAUACAGUUCUGGACUUGGUAUUCAGUAGAAUGUGUUUUGCUACUUUCUGUACUACUGCCUUACCAAGUGCUGAAGAUUUAUACAUGGAACUAAUCCUUUUGGUGGCUUAGGUUCCGGUGUGCAUUGCUUUUUAGUGCUCUUAAAUUGUCUGCUAGCUGAUAUAAAUUGAUACAUAUAUGUAUACAUAUAUAUAUAUGUAUGUAUGUAUAUAUAUGUAUACAUAUACAUAUGUAUGUAUAUACAUGUAUACACAUACAUGUGUAUGUAUACACAUACAUACACACACACACACACACACACACACAC